rnacentral:lncRNA from 1 species
AUGAGGUUUCUCUUUGUUUGUUCUUUUUUUCAGGGACCCAACGGACCAAAAGGAGGUGAAGGCGCCAGGGGCCCAACGGGACCAAAGGGUCCUCCGGGUCCAUCGGGUCCCCCCGGACCAAAGGGUACCAUGACUAAAGUCCUGAAGGGAGUCAAAGGAGAGCAAGGAGAUGUUGGACAGCCAGGCCCACCAGGAAACGACACUCGGCAGCAAAUAAAGCCGCCCUCUGGACCACCUGGAGAGAAAGGGCAAAAAGGACAAGAAGGAGAAGUGGUAUGUGACCUUCAGCAAACAUACGAUCAUGGGUCCACAUGCACAACUCAGCUGAUCUUCUGUGCGGUUUGUUUCAGGACAUCAUUACAGGAGAACCCGGCAUACCGGGACCACCGGGACCCAGGGGGGAAAUGGGUAGAAACGGGCAACCUGGACUAG